rnacentral:rRNA from 1 species
GUGAGUAACACGUAGGCAACCUACCCUUAAGCUGGGGACAACUCAGGGAAACUUGAGCUAAUACCCGAUAAGACCACGGGCUGGGAGGCUUGUGGUAAAAGGAGCGAUUCACUUAGGGAUGGGCCUGCGGCCUAUCAGGUAGUUGGUGAGGUAAUGGCUCACCAAGCCUAAGACGGGUAGCCGGGCUGAGAGGUUGGACGGCCACACUGGAACUGAGACACGGUCCAGACUCCUACGGGAGGCAGCAGUGGGGAAUCUUGCGCAAUGGGGGAAACCCUGACGCAGCGACGCCGCGUGGAGGAAGAAGGUCUUCGGGUUGUAAACUCCUUUUCUUGGGGAAAAUGAUGAUGGUACCCAAGGAAUAAGCCACGGCUAACUCUGUGCCAGCAGCCGCGGUAAGACAGAGGUGGCGAGCGUUGUUCGGAAUUACUGGGCCUAAAGGGCGAGUAGGCGGUGGAACAAGUCUGAGGUGGAAUCCUAUGGCUUAACCAUAGAACUGCCUUAGAAACUGUUUUACUUGAGUCAGUGAGGGGAGGGCGGAAUUCCUGGUGUAGCGGUGAAAUGCGUAGAUAUCAGGAGGAAGGCCUGUGGCGAAGGCGGCCCUCUGGCACUGUACUGACGCUGAGGAGCGAAAGCGUGGGGAGCAAACAGGAUUAGAUACCCU